GGGCGCAUAGCUCAGGUGGUAGAGCAGCUGACUCUUAAUCAGCGGGUCGUAGGUUCGAGUCCUACUGCGCCCACCA
rnacentral:tRNA from 6 species